AAGAAAGAGGGUUGAAACCUUCAUGACAAUGCUAGAGAAUUAACAGUGAGAGAUGCAUUAAGCAACAACACAGUUUUGCCUUUUACAAGCUCCCUGAGGUUUUUAUUUCAGUCAGAGGACCAAGAUUUCAGUUCAAGUCACUGGAAGAAAAGAGCUGUCAUUUAUGCUCUCUACUUACAGGUAAAUUGUCUUGUGAUUAUUUCCACAGAACUCUGACUUGGAUAAGUUCCCCAGAGGGCAAGACCAAGAUGCACAAUAUUUCAUUAUGUGGAUGCACUACAGUUAACCAGACUCCUAUUGUUGGACAAAUUGGGCUGCAUGGAGAUUGUAGCAUGAAUGCAGAUAUUGGAAAUUUACUGGAUGUAUGAUCAGACAAACCAAUUGAAGUGGAGAAGAGAACCAAUCAGCCAAAUCAUUACAGAAGUUGCACCACUGCCUGAAAUAUCUUGACUGAUUCUAUAUAAGUUGAAUUUUUGCCGAAUAAAUUCUGAAAAUAAUUACAAGCUUCCUUUUGAUUUGAAUGUUACACAUCAAGUUCUAGUAAGAGCUAAUUUUACAUCAUUGACAGAUAACAAAAUAGAAGGAACAAAGUGCCCUUUGAGUUAAGGGCACUCCAAUGUCCCGGAAUUUAACCUUUUUGUCAGAUCAAUAAGGUUUAGUGCAACUAGCCAGACACCUGUCC
rnacentral:lncRNA from 10 species